GUUAAAAAGCUCGUAGUUGGAUUUCUGCGGGGGCGGGGCGGCCGGUUGCUUAUAGCAACUCGAGCUAGCACUUCCCCUGCAUCCUGCCGCGAACCGUGCUACCAUUAGUUUGGUGGCGCCGGGGAUCGGCUCGUUUACUUUGAGAAAAAUAGAGUGUUCAAAGCAGGCCACACGCCUUGAAUAAGUUAGCAUGGAAUAAUGAUAAAGGACUUCGGCUCUAUUUUGUUGGUGUUCGGGACUGAAGUAAUGAUUGAUAGGGACAGUUGGGGCGGUCCGUAUUCCAAAGCGAGAGGUGAAAUUCUUAGACCUUCGGAAGACGAACAGCUGCGAAAGCGUUCCGCAAGGAUGUUCCCUUUGAUCAAGAACGAAAGUUGGGGGAUCGAAGACGAUCAGAUACCGUCGUAGUCUCAACUAUAAACUAUACCAGCUAGGGAUCGGCCAACGUUUAAUUACACCGACUUGGUCGGCACCUUAUGAGAAAUCAAAGCAUCUGGGUUCCGGGGGGAGUAUGGUCGCAAGGCUGAAACUUAAAGGAAUUGACGGAAGGGCACCCCCAGCCGUGGAGCCUGCGGCUUAAUU
rnacentral:rRNA from 1 species